CUGGGAAACUGAUUCAUUUAGUUCAAUAAUAUGACUUGCUUAUAUUUAUGUCAAAUGUGUUAAGCUUCUACUUGCAUUUGGUUGCCAUGUGGCUACAUACUUUACAGGCUGGCAAAGCAAGCCUGCGUAUCUGACAUUAGGCUUUCAUUGCCAGGGUUACUAAUACAGACCAUUUUAAAGGUGGAAAAGUGGUUGUGACUACACCCUUGUUUUUGUGUGGUCAUCUUUCCCAUCAGUAGACUCGAGACACUGUAAAGCUAUGCAAACCUGGAUGUGAAAAUGUGAAGUAUGUGGAAAGAAUGGGGGCAGACUGUGGAGUAAACUUCAAUUGAUCCAAGAGUAACUGAAUGAUCUUUUGGCCUGCUGGUAAAAUAUCCUGGUUCAAUCAGUCAGGCAGAGGUUCUGUACGAGAAAUGAUGGGCUCUAUUAGUACAAGAUUAGGCUUAGACACAGAAUUCUGACCCUUUGCCACAGGUUUUCUGCUGCAGCAGCAUUUAGCUGAUCAGACAUGGCCACUCCAAGAACAUUUCAUUUCAUCCUAGAGUGAAGAACUCCAUGAAAGAGAGGUUUUUCUCUUUUCCUUUUUUGUGGUUUUUUUUGUUUUUUGGAGAGUUCAGUGCACUUUGGAAAGCUUCAUGAGAAUACUAGGGAAAACUCUGACCACAUCUCAUCCGUUCCAUGGAUAGCCGGUCUGCCAUCAACCACGGAUAAAUUAUUAGAGUCUGGUUGAGAACAAAUGUGGCCAACACCUAAUUGGCUCCACCAACACUCUUUUUGUGUGUUAAUCCUUUUCUCCUGUCAGUCUGUAUUGUCCUUUCUUCGAAAAUCAACUUUGCUUUCUCCCCUGCACAUAAAAGACAAACGGAACAAUAUUCAUCAUUGUUUUGAAGUUGACCUUAGCAUGUGUUUUACACAUAACAGGUACUUGAAAGCAUUUUCCAUCUUUCAGUGAAUGCUCCCUUCAGUUCCUGUACAAAUUUUUCCAAUCACCUGAAAUGCAUUCCCGUGGAAUAUCAAGCAUUCAUGCCAAUUCUAUUUCUGUCCCAUGUGAUUUGGGCAAUCUACGAAUGCUGACGUGUGUGAAGCAAUAAGUGAGAUAGGAUAUGUUUACAUAGUUAUGCUAUGAGGUUAUUGAGGAACUGGGAGUGAAAAGUAAACGUCUCAUAUGUCAUUAAAAAAAC
ensembl:lncRNA